rnacentral:rRNA from 1 species
UGAUCAUGGCUCAGAACGUACGCUGGCGGCACGCCUUAUACAUGCAAGUCGAACGAAGUAGCAAUACUUAGUGGCAGACGGGUGAGUAACAUGUAGGUAUCUUCCCUUUGGUGAGGAAUAACACGAGGAAACUUGUGCUAAUACCUCAUAAGUCUUUACGGAGAAAGCUUUAUGCGCCGAAGGAUGAGCCUGCACUUGAUUAGUUUGUUGGUGGGGUAAUGGCCUACCAAGACUUUGAUCUAUAGCUGAUCUGAGAGGAUGAUCAGCCACAUUGGGACUGAGACACGGCCCAAACUCCUACGGGAGGCAGCAGUAGGGAAUAUUGCACAAUGGAGGAAACUCUGAUGCAGCGAUGCCGCGUGAGUGAAGAAGGCCUUUGGGUUGUAAAGCUCUUUCGUCGGGGAAGAAAAUGACUGUACCCGAAUAAGAAGGUCCGGCUAACUUCGUGCCAGCAGCCGCGGUAAUACGAAGGGACCUAGCGUAGUUCGGAAUUACUGGGCUUAAAGAGUUCGUAGGUGGUUAAAAAAGUUGGUGGUGAAAUCCCAGAGCUUAACUCUGGAACUGCCAUCAAAACUUUUUAGCUAGAGUAUGAUAGAGGAAAGCAGAAUUUCUAGUGUAGAGGUGAAAUUCGUAGAUAUUAGAAAGAAUACCAAUUGCGAAGGCAGCUUUCUGGAUCAUUACUGACGCUGAGGAACGAAAGCAUGGGUAGCGGAGAGGAUUAGAUACCCUCGUAGUCCAUGCCGUAAACGAUGUGUGUUAGACGUUGGAAAUUUAUUUUCAGUGUCGCAGCGAAAGCAUUAAACACACCGCCUGGGGAGUACGA